rnacentral:rRNA from 1 species
UGUAAGCGUAUACCAAAGUCGUUGCAGUUAAAACGCUCGUAGUCGGAAUUUGGCAGUUCCGGAUGUGUGCACGUCGUGUGCGCACUUCGCGGGGAUUGCUUUUGUGGUCUUGCGUAGGAUGAGGCACUUUUAUUAGUGAACGUCCUCACGCAACCACUUUUUACUGUGAGAAAAUCAGAGUGCUCAAAGCAGGCAUCUGCCGUGAAUGUAUUAGCAUGGAAUAAUAGAGUAGGACUUGGUUCUAUUUUGUUGGUUUGUUGGGACUGAGUAAUGAUUAAGAGGGACAGUUGGGGGCAUUUGUAUUUCGGUGCUAGAGGUGAAAUUCUUAGAUUACCGAAAGACAAACUGCUGCGAAAGCGUCUGCCAAGGAUGUUUUCAUUGA